AGGCUUAACACAUGCAAGUCGAGGGGCAUCAGUUUGGUUUGCUUGCAAACCAAAGCUGGCGACCGGCGCACGGGUGAGUAACACGUAUCCAACCUGCCUCAUACUCGGGGAUAGCCUUUCGAAAGAAAGAUUAAUAUCCGAUAGCAUAUAUUUCCCGCAUGGGUUUUAUAUUAAAGAAAUUCGGUAUGAGAUGGGGAUGCGUUCCAUUAGUUUGUUGGCGGGGUAACGGCCCACCAAGACUACGAUGGAUAGGGGUUCUGAGAGGAAGGUCCCCCACAUUGGAACUGAGACACGGUCCAAACUCCUACGGGAGGCAGCAGUGAGGAAUAUUGGUCAAUGGACGCGAGUCUGAACCAGCCAAGUAGCGUGAAGGAUGACUGCCCUAUGGGUUGUAAACUUCUUUUAUAUGGGAAUAAAGUGGUCCACGUGUGGAUUUUUGUAUGUACCAUAUGAAUAAGGAUCGGCUAACUCCGUGCCAGCAGCCGCGGUAAUACGGAGGAUCCGAGCGUUAUCCGGAUUUAUUGGGUUUAAAGGGAGCGUAGGCGGAUUGUUAAGUCAGUUGUGAAAGUUUGCGGCUCAACCGUAAAAUUGCAGUUGAUACUGGCAGUCUUGAGUGCAGUAGAGGUGGGCGGAAUUCGUGGUGUAGCGGUGAAAUGCUUAGAUAUCACGAAGAACUCCGAUUGCGAAGGCAGCUCAC
rnacentral:rRNA from 1 species